rnacentral:rRNA from 1 species
GUUGGCGGGGCAACGGCCCACCAAGGCGACGAUCAGUAGCCGGCCUGAGAGGGUGGGCGGCCACAUUGGGACUGAGACACGGCCCAAACUCCUACGGGAGGCAGCAGUGGGGGAUAUUGCACAAUGGGGGGAACCCUGAUGCAGCGACGCCGCGUGGGCGAUGGAGCGCCUCGGCGCGUAAAGCCCUAUCAGCAGGGAAGAAAAUGACGGUACCUGACUAAGAAGCCCCGGCUAAAUACGUGCCAGCAGCCGCGGUAAUACGUAUGGGGCAAGCGUUAUCCGGAUUUACUGGGUGUAAAGGGAGCGCAGGCGGCCUGGCAAGCCUGAUGUGAAAUACCGGGGCCCAACCCCGGGGCUGCAUUGGGAACUGCCAGGCUGGAGUGCCGGAGAGGCAGGCGGAAUUCCUAGUGUAGCGGUGAAAUGCGUAGAUAUUAGGAGGAACACCAGUGGCGAAGGCGGCCUGCUGGACGGUGACUGACGCUGAGGCUCGAAAGCGUGGGGAGCAAACAGGAUUAGAUACCCUGGUAGUCCACGCCGUAAA